rnacentral:tRNA from 1 species
CCCUUCGCCAAGUGGUAAGGCAGUGGUUUUUGGUACCGCUAUGCGCUGGUUCGAAUCCAGCAGGGGCA